rnacentral:tRNA from 1 species
GACCGCGGACCGCGGACUGGACUCACAAUCCAGAAGUCGCCGGUUCGAAUCCCGCCGCGGGCG